rnacentral:lncRNA from 1 species
GAUGUUUUUGUUGAGGUAGCACUGGGAGGGGGCCGUGUUCUUCUCCCAGGAAUGUUUAUGUUUCUUACACUUAUUUUACGCUCGAGGCAAUUACUGUUGUUUUCGUAUGUGAGUGCACACAGAUCAUUUUUUUUUCUGCAGCUACUCGAACACAAAACCUUUUUUUUUCAUUUUCAUCUUUUGAGGCUGAAGAUGAAUGCAAGCUAAUGACCAUAAGCCUGAAACUCUAAUUCCUGUUGAGACAAGCUACAGGCUUUUAUGAAUUGGUCAGGUCUGAAAUUUUUAGUUGGGUAGACAUAGCUAUCUUCAGUUUUUUUUUCAUCUUUCUUUCUUCGGUAGGUCUAAGCCGUUGUCUUUUUCGAUCUUUCUUAAGUCUAUAUUAACUCAGUCUUUAAGUUUGCACCAUUCUUCAGUCUAUCAAUCCUCAGAGUUUAGUUAUCUAUCAGUCUUUAGACCUUCAGUUUUAUUUUCCUCUAUGUUCUCACUCUGUGUUUUUCUUUGUUCCUCGGUCUACCAAUUUUAUUAAAUUCUCUUCAUUUAUUUAGUUCAUCAUCAGUCAAUCAAAAGUAAUGUUUGUCCGUUUUACCUUGUGUUGACUUUCUUACCAACUUAGUAUGGUUGUGUGUGCAACUUUAUAGUACUACAUGGUGGAGAAUGAGAACAGAGGGGCGUGCAACACCACCACCUCGCUGGCUCAAAGGCAAAAAAAAAUUAUGCAACUUCUGCUUAUUUCUCAGCCAACACUAGCAGUGGUUGUUUGAAACUCCUACUACUAUUCCAUACAAAUACAACAAAAAGAGUGGGCCAUCAUACCACUCUCUGUGCAACUCUAACUACUGCAGUUGCCAACAAAUGUGACUACGAAUGAAUCAGCUUGUGCAUACCUUCUCUUGCCAACUUUGUAUAACCAUGGGUGGUGCAUCUUUCCGGUACAACUUCAACAUGUGCUAAAUUAUACGACCAACUUAUUAUGACUAUGUGCACAAUAAACAUGCUUGUAUGUCGCUGAGGAGAGUGUUGUCGCCUCGACCACCCACUUCAAUUUCGCCAAGAGAGUACCACCUCGACUGUCAGUUUGGAUUUUGCCGGGAAAGAGAGCGGCUGCUUCCAACUUCGUUUGGAUUUCGCUGAAGCGAGCAUCACCUCCAUUGCCCGUGGAUGGAGGGAGAGAAAAGAGGACGACCUCCGCGACAUAAAUAUAUUGGUGGAAACAUAUAGUGAGAUUUGCUAACGAACAUGUUGAUGCUGCAAGGACCAUAUUUCAUUAUCCCUUCUCGGACUGAAUCGUGGCUGGUGCAUCCACCUCCCGCAUCGAAUGCUCAUAGGACCACAUGUGCCAUCAUAAACCUCUUUUUCUUUUAGUUAUGUUUAAUCAAGGUAGUAAAAAAAUAGAGGGGAGGAAAACACGGCGGGGUACAAUGUUCAUAUGAUUGUGAGCAAAUAUGAUUGCUUGGCUGGAUUGACGCCGCCGCCACCAUCUUUCACGAUGCCUCCACCAAAUCUGCCAAGCGCUGACAUCUAUCGAGUUGUGAAACCCUCGCCCUGAAAUAUACUGUUAUAUCGUAGUUGUCACUUUUAAAGGUUACAUUGACCUUAUCCAUGCUACCUAAUCGUCUGUUUGUUUCAUGUACAUGCAUUGCCACCGGUAGCAACGCACGGGUAUUUUCCUAGUUGAUGCAAAGAUACGUAAUAAUUUUUUAUUUAAUUGGGAAAUGUGAAGAUAUUUUUUAAAGAAAUUGCAAAGAUAAUAAAUGAAAGAAGUUAGGAAACUGGGCCGUAGAGGAGAUCGAGGGAGGCCGAAUUAGCCCAAACUGGCUAACUCAAACUAAUUUCACCUAAAAAAAGGCUAACUCAAACUAACCCUUUAUUAGCAAUAAAAAGGGCCCCUAGAAAAGAGCAAUAAAAAAGGAAACCCUAAAAAGAAGGACGCCGAUAACUGCCACACGUGUGGCACAAUGAACAUCCGCCCACACGACCCUGUGUGGCAUACCCAACAGGCAGCUCACACGAUUGUGUGUGGGCGAAUAUUAAACUGCCCACACGUGUGGCAGGAGAAGCAUCCUACCACACGACUCGUUCGGUACGAGGGGAUCGAUCCCCCGCAGAAAUUUGUUCGGCAGGGGGAACCCAUAGCCCGCACGCCUCCAUCACACCAGGCCCUUUCCCUUAUGACAAAAAGGAACAAAAAUCCCACUGACAACGAAUUAAAUGAAAAGGCCCAGAUUUUUUUGUGACAAAUAAAAGCUCAGGUUUUGCCCAGCUACUAAAGAAAUGCCAUCAACUUUGAAAAUAGCAGAAAAAUUGUCAUUCGAGUUUGACCAAAAUAUUUGCCAUUAUAUUGUUUUUAACAAAUCAUAAAGGUUUAUAAACACAUAUUUAAUACCCCCAAUGAAAUAUGGCAAAUCUGCCAUGACAAAAAAAAUCAAUAUUGCCAUGUGAAAAAAACACAAAUAGUUGAAAAAUUCGUGUGAACAGAAACAAAAAAUUGACAGGACAAUAAAAGGUAAAAAUUAAAAUGGCAUUUUAAAUUAAAAUUGCCAUAAAUUUUUAAUUAGAAUUACCUUUUUUGAAGGAGGAUUUUGUGGUGUGUGAGAAAAAACACCAAAAUAUGAAAAUCAAGUACGAACAAAGAGAUUUGCCAUGGCAAAUUCGUACCAAGAAUUGCCGCAUGUUUGAAUGAUACAUUUGCCGUCUGUGAAAAAACACAAAAAGUUAGAAAUCAAGUAUGAACAAAGACAAAUACCAUGGCAGAUUCAUAUCAAAACUUGCCAUGGCGAAAUUCACGUAAACUAAAACUUGCCAUGAUUUUAAAACUAAAUUUGCCAUGAACCAAAUAAACUAAAUUUGACAUGAUCAAAUAAAAUCAGUUUGCCAUGGUCAAUAAACUAAAUUUUCCCUGGUCAAUAAACUAAAUUUGCCAUUAUCAACAAACUAAAUUUGCCGUAUUUAAGUAAGAAACAAAAGCAUAAAGAUUGUGGUGGGCGUAUUAAAAAAACCUAAAUUUGCCAUGGCAAAUAAACAUGACAUUUUUGCCUUGGCAAACUUUGAAAAAUAGGUCAUAGGAACAUUUUCUAAAGUUGUUAUAUGAUCAAAUCCAGAAAAAUUGGCAUGCUAUGUACGCAUAUUAAGUUGACAUGGCAAGUUUGCCAUGUUUUUGAAUGCCUAUAACUUUGACAUGUUUUUGAACAUCUAUAGCUUUGACAUGUUUUGAACCAAUAAACUAAAAUUUGCCUUGGCAUGGCAGAUUUGUAUCAAGAAUUGUCGUGUUUUGGUAUGAUGAAUUUGCCGUGUGUGUAAAAAACACAAAAAAGUUGAAAAUCUAAAAAUAUGAACAAGAAAUUUGUAAACUAAAUUUGCCACAACAGGUUCGUACCAAAACUUGCCAUGGCACAUUCGUAUCAAGAAUUGCCUUGUGUUUGAAUGAUGAAUUUGCCGUGUGUGUGAAAGAAACACAAAAAGUUGACAAUCAAGUAUGAACAAGAAAAAAUGCCAUGGCAGAUUCGUAUCAAGACUUACCAUGGCAAAAAUCACGUAAACUAAAUUUGCCAUGAUUUGAAAACUAAAUUUGCCAUGACUAGUAAACUAAAUUUACCAUUGACCAAAUAAACUAAAUUUGACAUGAUCAAAUAAAAUCAGAUUACCGUGAUCAAUAAACUAAAUUUGCCAUGACAAUAAACUAAAUUCACCAUUAUCAACAAACUAAAUUUGCCGUGGUUAAGUAAGAAACAUAAGCAUAAAAGAUCAUCGUGGGCCUUGGCCAAUAAACAUGACAUUUUUGCCAUGGCAAACGUUGAAAAAUAGGUCAUAGGAACAAUUUCUAAACUUGCUAUGUGAUCAAGUGUAGAAAUGGGCAUGCUAUGUAUACAUAGUGCAACAACUUUUAAAAAAUAAGCAUGGCAAGAACAUGAAAAAAGAAUUGCCAUGAAUAGUUUACAGCUAACAGGAAAACCUACUUGCAAUUGCCAUAACAGAAACAUAGCUAAAAGAAGUUUGUACUAAUUGAACACAAACUUAAGUAGUCAAUUCAAAUUUGCCAUGGGUAGUACUACUCGCACGACAAUUAGAAAAUAGAAUACAAAAGAAUGUGCCAUCGUCAAUUUGCCAUCUAAACAUUUAUAAAUUUGGCAUGGUCAGUAGAAAAUAAUUUGCCAUGGUCAGUAGAGUAGAAGCGACCGUCAAUGCAAUAAAUUUGCCAUGGCAAAUACAAUAAAGUUCACCAUGGUCAAUGUAAUAAAAAUGCCAUGUUUCGUAAGGUAAUUCGCCAUGCUAAAGGCAAUAAAAUUGCCAUGUCAAUGCAUAUUCCACAAUGUGUAGCAUUUCAGUUUUCACUGAAAAAAAGAGGCACUGAAAAACUACAAAUGAAUUUGGCAUGGUCAUUUUGCCGUCUGACCAUUUGUGAAUUUCUCAUGGCCAGUGAAAAAUAAUUUGCCAUGGUCAGUACGAAUAAAAGUGCCAAAAAAACAGUAGAGCUAGACAUCAUCUGAGCUUAACGAUUGUAGCCAUGGGAAUUGACGAACAACAUCUAAGCUUAAUCAUGGUUGCCACUCAUACAAAUCUUUUGUUGUGGGAGUAAUUUCAAAAGGAUAGUUAUGAUGAAACAUGGCAAAAAUGACAUAAAAAGUAACCAUGGCUCAGUCGAUGUAAGUUGCCACACAACAUAUGAUAGAAUUUGCCAUGUUUGUGAGUCAGAGGACCUAGACAUCUAGAAAGUGUGAUUUAUCAGAAAAUGCCAUGCUACUGCUCUACCACACACCCAAGGGUUGACUAACACAAAACAGUACGCUACCAUACUCUCCCUAGAGCCAGACCCGCAACCUCUGUCAGUCACCGGAAACAAUUGACGGAUGAAAUAUGGAACUCACUCACCUAGCAGCCCACCACUUAUACGCCGCCGUGGAGCUGCACUAGAUCUGUUUCGUCGCGCUGGUCGGAGCAGGAAAGGCAUCGAGCGCGGGAGGCAGGAGCACCGACCUGCCACCACGACGCUCGCGCCAGGCGUGUUGCAGGUCUCCAUCGACAGGCUGCUGUGCCUAACGCUGGCGAGCCAGGAUCCCUGCUCCUCACGUCGACGACGCGAGCGACCGACAACAGGAGUGCUGACUGUUGAGUAGGAAUCCAAUGAUGGACGGGUGAGGGUGGCGUUGCUUCAAGGCGGGCGAGCAGAGGUCGAUGAGUACCUAGAGACACAGGCGAGGCGCGCGAGCUGCAGUUCCAUGGCCAUCGGAUCCGGCGAGUGAUGCAGAUUGGCGGAGCUUCAGAUGAGAGGUCGCCAUGGGAAGCAGGCUGGGGCACCACGCAUAUCCCCAUCAUCAACGGCGGCCAGCUGGUCCCCGGCCUCCCCCACCAACCUCGGUGACAUGGAGGUGGACGGGGAGGUGCCGACUCCCGCCCUGACGCGGCGCGCGCCCGACCAGCGCUCCAGCUCAACGGUUGGAGACCUCGUGGCGCAGCCUCUACUCCCUGAUGCUGUCGUCUCUGGACCCUAACAUCCGAACCGAGGCUCUUUCGUCUUGCUUUGUUUUUGGAUCGGCAAGUACCCCUUGGAAUCCUUCAAGAUCGUCAAGUGAACGACUACCACACCGGAACGCCAACUACAUGGAUAUGCCAGGUUCCUCUCCGAACGUGUACGAAUAUGCCCGGUGAUGCGACAAGUACCUCUACCGACGACCCCGAACAUCUACGAAAACGUGUACCACUACCGUCGCCGAAGACCCGUGUAACGGAACCGUCAAGUUCGACUACCUUCGUGUGUACCACUACUUCCCUCGACGAUUUUGGACCGCCCCGAAAUGCACGCUUCGAAGGUAUAACCCCGAGACGACGCCCGUGAAUGAAUGCAUGUGUGAUGUAUGAGAUGUCGUAUUUGCACCGUGUCCGAGUUGUCCCUGCACGUUCCUCCUUGUUUGCCAUGCCGUCGACCCGUGGGAACCCGGUAACCGGGAUCACCCCACCAUCCUUGCAUGACUCGCUCCACACACUUGUUCUUUUGCACCGGUAUCUCAAUGAGUUGUCAGAUCAUCGGAAUGUUGCCGUGGCACCAUUUCCGUUGUCGUUGCCAUGGCACCCCUUUCGUUCUGCCACGGUGACAAAUCCUUCAUAUCAUGCUCAUGCCAACAUUUUCAUAAAAUUUCAUAAAACUUGCAUAUGUCAUCCGCAUCAUGAUAACAACAUUUCAAAUGCUUAAAAUUGUUGCUUGCAUUAAAAUUGCUAAAUGACAUAUGGGGAUUUUCUGGAAUUGUUGUUUGUUAUUUCCGGCCUCAUUUAAACUUGCCUAAAUAGUUAGUUUAUGAUGCUUCACCUCUUGCCAUGUUUAACAACAAUUAAUAUUGUUGGGUACAUAAACGGGAGAGAACUAAAUAAUUGAAUAUGGUGUUUUGUCAAUAUGCAACUUGUUGCAUAUUGAGCUCCACUUAAUUAGUAUUGUUUGUUGAACUUUGCCAUGCCAUGCCUCUUUAAACCGGACAUGCAUCAUGCUUGAUUGUGCAUCAUGCCAUGUUUAUGUGAUGGUUGUUUACCAUGUUGUUUGCUUCUUUCCAGUUGUGCUUCUUCUUGAUAGUUCCGGUCACGUUGCGAUUGUGAGGACCCGUUCGACUACGUUAGUUCGUCUACUUCAUGGAUUUGGUCUUCUUCCUAGCGGGAUUUCAGGCAAGAUGACCGUCACCUUGGAUCUCACUACUAUCUUUGCUAUGCUAGUUGUCUCGAUGCUAUCGCUAUGUCGCGCUACCUACCACUUGUUUAUCGAGCCUCCCAAAUUGCCAUGAUAGCCUCUAACCUUUUCACCCUUCCUAGCAAACCGUUGUUUGGCUAUGUUACCACUUGUUUAUUGUUCCAUGCUAUAUUAUAUUCUGUUUUGGACAUUGUUGGGCUUUAUUAUACACUUUUAUAUUAUUUUUGGGACUAACCUAUUAAUCGGAGGCCCAGCCCAGAAUUGUUGUUUUUUGCCUAUUUCAGAGUUUCGCAAAAAAGAAUAUCAAACGGAGUCCAAACGGAAUCCAGAGUCUUAGAGUCUACGCAAAGCAAUGAACGAGGAAGGCACGAGGUAGGGGGGCGCGCCUACCCCCCCCCCCCCAGGCGCGCCCUCCACCCUCGUGGGCCCCUUGUUGCUCCACCGACGUACUUCUUCCUCCUAUAUAUACCUACGUACCCCCAAACUACCAGAUACAAAGCCAAAAACCUAAUUCCGCCGCCGCAGCCUUAUGUACCCGUGAGAUCCCUUCUUGGGGCCUUUUCCGGAGCUCCGCCGGAGGGGGCAUCGAUCACGGAGGGCUUCUACAUCAACACCAUAGCCUCUCCGAUGAUGUGUGAGUAGUUUACCUCAGACCUUCGGGUCCAUAGUUAUUAGCUAGAUGGCUUCUUCUUUCUUUUUGGAUCUCAAUACAAUGUCCCCCCUCUCUUGUGGAGAUCUAUUCGAUGUAAUCUUCUUUUUGCGGUGUGUUUGUUGAGACCGAUGAAUUGUGGGUUUAUGAUCAAGUUUAUCUAUGAACAAUAUUUGAAUCUUCUCUGAAUUCUUUUAUGUAUGAUUGGUUAUCUUUGCAAGUCUCUUCGAAUUAUCAGUUUGGUUUGGCCUACUAGAUUGAUCUUUCUUGCAAUGGGAGAAGUGCUUAGCUUUGGGUUCAAUCUUGCGGUGUCCUUUCCCAGUGACAGUAGGGGCAGCAAGGCACGUAUUGUAUUGUUGCCAUCGAGGAUAACAAGAUGGGGUUUAUAUCAUAUUGCAUGAAUUUAUCCCUCUACAUCAUGUCAUCUUACUUAAAGCGUUACUCUGUUCUUAUGAACUUAAUACUCUAGAUGCAUGCUGGAUAGCGGUCGAUGUGUGGAGUAAUAGUAGUAGAUGCAGGCAGGAGUCGGUCUACUUGUCUCGGACGUGAUGCCUAUAUACAUGAUCAUACCUAGAUAUUCUCAUAACCAUGCUCAAUUCUGUCAAUUGCUCAACAGUAAUUUGUUCACCCACCGUAAUACGUAUGCUCUCGAGAGAAGCCUCUAGUGAAACCUAUGGCCCCCGGGUCUAUUUUCCAUCAUAUUUAAUCUCCCGACAACAAGUUAUUUCUAGUGUCGUCUUUAUUUUACUUUCUUUACUUUGCAUCUUUAUCAUAAAAAUACCAAAAAUAUUAUCAUAUCAUAUCUAUCAGAUCUCACUCUCGUAAGUGACCGUGAAGGGAUUGACAACCCCUUUAUUGCGUUGGUUGCGAGGAUUUAUUUGUUUGUGUAGGUGCAAGGGACUCGUGCGUGGCCUCCUACUGGAUUGAUACCUUGGUUCUCAAAAACUGAGGGAAAUACUUACGCUACUUUGCUGCAUCACCCUUUCCUCUUCAUGGGAAAACCAACGCAGUGCUCAAGAGGUAGCAAGAAGGAUUUCUGGCGCCGUUGCCGGGGAGGCUUACGCAAAGUCAAGUCAAGAUUUGACUUCCAGCAACUAGCCAUUUCUGGCGCCGUUGCUGGGGAGUCUAUGCAAAAGUCAACAUACCAAGUACCCAUCACAAACCCUUAUCUCCCGCAUUACAUUAUUUGCCAUUUGCCUCUCGUUUUCCUCUCCCCCACUUCACCCUUGCCGUUUUAUUCGCCCUCUUUUUUUCGUUCGCUUUUUUUCUCGCUCGCUUCUUGUUUGCUCGUGUGUUGGAUUGCUUGCUUGUCUCAAUGGCCCUACCUAGAUUUGGCGAUCUUCACCUUAAAAGGUUAGAAGAGAUGAAAGCAACGUCAGGAGUUUUAUGGUCUUACAAUUUGAACAUAAUAAUUUCUCUAGAAACGAGCUUAAGGAACAAAAAAGAUUUAUGAGUUAUAUGAAUAAAGAGCUCAAAGAUAUGUCCAAAGAAUUUGAUGGUUUGAAAUCUCAGAUUGCUCAUCUUGAAAAGUUAAUAGCUGAAGUUUCGGACAAGCAGGCCACCUUAGUUAAUAAGAUGGCCGCUAAGCCGGAUUUUUUUUGGAAAAUAAAGAUGAAGAUCUAAAAGUUAUUGAUGUGUCCCCAAUUAAAUCUUUGUUUUGCAAUAUGAAUCUUGAUAAUGAUGGGACUGAAUAUGAUCCACCUUUACCUAGAAGGCGUUCCAAAAAUUCAGAGUUUUUAGAUCUUGGUGCUAAAAUUGAUAAAAGUGAGAUUGAAGAAGUUAAAACUCUAGAUCUCAAUGAACCCACUAUUUUGGAUUUCAAGGAGUUUAAUUAUGAUAAUUGCUCUUUGAUAGAUUGUAUUUCCUUGUUGCAAUCUGUGCUAAAUUCUCCACAUGCUUAUAGUCAACAUAAAGCUUUUACUAAACAUAUCGUUGAUGCUUUGAUGCAAUCUUAUGAAGAAAAACUUGAGUUGGAAGUUUCUAUCCCUAGAAAACUUUAUGAUGAGUGGGAACCUACUAUUAAAAUUAAAAUUAAAGAUCAUGAAUGCUAUGCUUUGUGUGAUUUGGGUGCUAGUGUUUCCACGAUUCCAAAAACUUUGUGCGAUUUGCUAGGUUUCCGUGAUUUCGAUGAUUGCUCUUUAAACUUGCACCUUGCGGAUUCCACCAUUAAGAAACCUAUGGGAAGAAUUAAUGAUGUUCUUAUUGUUGCAAAUAGGAAAUAUGUGCACGUAGAUUUUAUUGUUCUUGAUAUAGAUUGCAAUCCUUCAUGUCCUAUUAUUCUUGGUAGACCUUCCCUUAGAACGAUCGGUGCAAUUAUUGAUAUGAAGGAAGACAAUAUUAGAUUCCAAUUUCCGUUAAGGAAAGGCAUGAAACACUUCCCUAGAAAGAAAACAAAAUUACCAUAUGAAUCUAUCAUGAGAGCCACCUAUGGAUUGCCUACCAAAGAUGGCAAUACCUAGAUCUAUCCUCGCUAUUAUGCCUAGCUAGGGGCGUUAAACGAUAGCGCUUGUUGGGAGGCAACCCAAUUUUAUUUUUAGUUCUUUUUGCUUUUUGCUUCUGUUUAGGAAUAAUUUUUUUGUUCUAGCCUCUGGUUAGAUGUGUUUUUAUGUUUUAAUUAGUGUUUGUGCCAAGUUUAACCUAUAGGAUCUUCUUGGAUGAUAGUUAUUUGAUCUUGCUGAAAAUUCCAGAAACUUUCUGUUCACGAAAAUAAUUGUUAAAAAUCACCAGAACGUGAUAAAAUAUUGAUUCCAAUUGCUGCUGAUCAAUAAGAAAAUUGUCUAGGUCUUCCUAUUUUGGCUGAAUCUUUGGAGUUCCAGAAGUUUGCGUUAGUUACAGAUUACUACAGACUGUUCUGUUUUUCGUGUGUUGUUUGCUUAUUUUGAUGAAUCUAUGGCUAGUAAAAUAGUUUAUAAACCGUAGAGAAGUUGGAAUACAUUAGGUUUAACACCAAUAUAAAUAAAUAAUGAGUUCAUUACAGUACCUUAAAGUGGUGUUUUGUUUUCUUUCGCUAACGGAGCUCACGAGAUUUUCUAUUAAGUUUUGUGUGUUGUGAAGUUUUCAAGUUUUGGGUAAAAGAUUUGAUGGAUUAUAGAACAAGGAGUGGCAAGAGCCUAAGCUUGGGGAUGCCCAUGGCACCCCAAGAUAAUCUAAGGACACCAAAAAGCCAAAGCUUGGGGAUGCCCCAGAAGGCAUCCCCUCUUUCGUCUACUUCCAUCGGUAACUUUACUUGGAGCUAUAUUUUUAUUCACCACAUGAUAUAUGUUUUGCUUGGAGCGUCUUGUAUUAUUUGAGUCUUUGCUUUUUAGUUUACCACAAUCAUCUUUGCUGGACACACCUUUUGAGAGAGACACACAUGAUUCGGAAAUUAUUAGAAUACUCUAUGUGCGUCACUUAUAUCUUUUGAGCUAUAUAGUUUUUGCUCUAGUGCUUCACUUAUAUCUUUUAGAGCACGGUGGUGGUUUUGUUUUAUAGAAACUAUUAUUCUCUCAUACUUCACUUAUAUUAUUUUGAGAGUCUUAAACAGCAUGGUAAUUUGCUUAGAUAAUCCUAAUAUGCUAGGUAUUCAAGACUAGUAAAAAACUUUCUUAUGAGUGUGCUGAAUACUAAGAGAAGUUUGAUGCUUGAUGAUUGUUUUGAGAUAUGGAGGUAGUGAUAUUAAAGUUGUGCUAGUUGAGUAGUUGUGAAUUUGAGAAAUACUUGUGUUGAAGUUUGCAAGUCCCGUAGCAUGCACGUAUGGUAAACGUUAUGUAACAAAUUUGAAACAUGAGGUGUUCUUUGAUUGUCCUCCUUAUGAGGGGCGGUCGGGGACGAGCGAUGGUCUUUUCCUACCAAUCUAUCCCCCUAGGAGCAUGCGCGUAGUGCUUGGUUUUUGAUGACUUGUAGAUUUUUGCAAUAAGUAUGUGAGUUCUUUAUGACUAAUGUUGAGUCCAUGGAUUAUACGCACUCUUACCCUUCCAUCAUUACUAGCCUCUUCGGUACUGUGCAUUGCCCUUUCUCACAUUGAGAGUUGGUGCGAACUUCUCCAGUGCAUCCAAACCCCGUGAUAUGAAACGCUCUUUCACACAUAAACCUUCUUAUAUCUUCCUCAAAACAGCCACCAUACCUACCUAUUAUGGCAUUUCCAUAGCCAUUCUGAGAUAUAUUGCCAUGCAACUUUCCACCGUUCCGUUUAUUAUGACACGCUCAUCAUUGUCAUAUUGCUUUGCAUGAUCAUGUAGUUGACAUAGUAUUUGUGGCAAAGCCGCCGUUCAUAAUUAUUCAUACAUGUCACUCUUGAUUCAUUGUUAUCCUGGUAUACCGCCGGAGGCAUGCAUAUAGAGUCAUACUUUGUUCUAGUAUCGGGUUGUAAUCAUUGAGUUGUAAAUGAAUAGAAGUGUGAUGAUCAUCAUUCAUAGAGCAUUGUCCCAAUAAAAAAAAGGAGAGAAAGGCCAAAUAAAAAAGGAAGGCCCCCAAAAAAAGAGAAAAUAAAAAGGGACAAUGCUACUAUCCUUUUCCAUACUUGUGCUUCAAAGUAGCACCAUGUUCUUCAUGUUAGAGAGUCUCUUGUUUUGUCACUUUCAUAUACUAGUGGGAAUUUUUUAUUAUAGAACUUGGCUUGUAUAUUCCAACAAUGGGCUUCCUCAAAUGCUCUAGGUCUUCGUGAGCAAGCAAGUUGGAUGCACACCCACUUAGUUGCAUUUUGUUGAGCUUUCAUAUAUUUAUAGCUCUAGUGCAUCCGUUGCAUGGCAAUCCCUACUCCUUGCAUUAACAUCAAUCGAUGGGCAUCUCCAUAGCUCAUUGAUUAGCCUCGUUGAUGUGAGACUUUCUCCUUUUUUGUCUUCUCCACAUAACCCCCAUCAUUAUAUUCUAUUCCACCCAUAGUGCUAUAUCCAUGGCUCACGCUCAUGUAUUGCGUGAAGGUUCAAAAAAGUUUGAGAUUACUAAAGUAUGAAACAAUUGCUUGGCUUGUCAUCGGGGUUGUGCAUGAUCAGAGCAUUCUUGUGUGACGGAAAUGGAGCAUGACUAAACUAUAUGAUUUUGUAGGGAUGAACUUUCUUUGGCCAUGUUAUUUUGAGAGGACAUAAUUGCUUAGUUAGUAUGCUUGAAGUAUUAUUACUUUUAUGUCAAUAUUAAACCUUUAUCUUGAAUCUUUCGGAUCUGAAUAUUCAUACCACAAUUAAGAGAAUUACAUUGAAAACCAUGCCAAGUAGCAUUCCACAUCAAAAAUUCUGUUUUUAUCAUUUACCUAUUCGAGGACGAGUAGGAAUUAAGCUUGGGGAUGCUUGAUACUGUUGGGGAACGUAGUAAUUUCAAAAAAAUUCCUACGCACACGCAAGAUCAUGGUGAUGCAUAGCAACGAGAGGGGAGAGUGUUGUCCACGUACCCUCGUAGACCGACAGCGGAAGCGUUAUCACAACGCGGUUGAUGUAGUCGUACGUCUUCACGAUCCGACCGAUCAAGUACCGAACGUACGACACCUCCGAGUUCUACACACGUUCAGCUCGAUGACGUCCCUCGAACUCCGAUCCAGCCGAGUGUUGAGGGAGAGUUUCGUCAGCACGACGGCGUGGUGACGAUGAUGAUGUUCCACCGACGCAGGGCUUCGCCUAAGCUCCGCAACGGUAUUAUCGAGGUGUAAUAUGGUGGAGGGGGGCACCGCACACGGCUAAGAGAUCUCAAGGAUCAAUUGUUGUGUCUCUGGGGUGCCCCCUGCCCCCGUAUAUAAAGGAGCAAGGGAGGAGGAGGCCGGCCCUAGGAGGGGCGCACCAAGUGUGGAGUCCUACUAGGACUCCCUAGUCCUAGUAGGAUUCCACCUCCCAUAUGGAAUAGGAAAAGAGGAAGGGAAAAGGAGAAGGAAGGAAGGGGGCGCCCCCCUUCCCUAGUCCAAUUCGGACCAGACCAAGGGGAGGGGUGCGGCCACCCUUGAGGCCCUUUUCCUUCUUUCCCGUAUGGCCCAAUAAGGCCCAAUACGUAUUCCCGUAACUCUCCGGUACUCCGAAAAAUACCCGAAUCACUCGGAACCUUCCCGAAGUCCGAAUAUAGUCGUCCAAUAUAUCGAUCUUUACGUCUCGACCAUUUCGAGACUCCUCGUCAUAUCCCCGAUCUCAUCGACAAUUGUUCUCUAACUUAAAUGAAUAACCGUAUUGCAAUAAACAUGAUCAAAUCAUAUUCAUGCUCAACGCAAACACCAAAUAACACUUAUUUAGUUUCAACACUAAUCCCGAAAGUACAGGGAGUGUGCGAUGAUGAUCAUAUCAAUCUUGGAACUACUUCCAACACACAUCGUCACCUCGCCUUUUACUAGUCUCUGUUUAUUCUGCAACUCCCGUUUUCGAGUUACUACUCUUUAGCAACUGAACCAGUAUCAAUUACCGAGGGGUUGCUAUAAACACUAGUAAAGUACACAUCAAUAAUCUGUAUAUCAAAUAUACCUUUGUUCACUUUUACUAGUCUCUGUUUAUUCUGCAACUCCCGUUUCGAGUUACUACUCUUAGCAACUGAACCAGUAUCAAUUACCGAGGGGUUGCUAUAAACACUAGUAAAGUACACAUCAAUAAUCUGUAUAUCAAAUAUACCUUUGUUCACUUUGCCAUCCUUCUUAUCCACCAAAUAGUUGGGGUAGUUCCGCUUCCAGUGACCAGUCCCUUUGCAGUAGAAGCACUUAGUCUCAGGCUUAGGACCAGACUUAGGCUUCUUCACUUGAGCAGCAACUUGCUUGCCGUUCUUUUUGAAGUUCCCCUUCUUCCCUUUGCCCUUUUCUUGAAACUAGUGGUCUCAUCAACCAUCAACACUUGAAGUGGUCUCGUCAACCAUCAACACUUGAUGUUUUUCUUGAUUUCUACCUUCGUCGAUUUCAGCAUCACGAAGAGCUCGGGAAUUACUUUCGUCAUCCCUUGCAUACCAUAGUUCAUCACUAAGUUCUACUAAGAGCGAUUCUCCUCCAUCUUUUUGCUAUAGAACUUGUUGGAGAUUUCAUAUCUCUCAACUCGGGUACUUGCUUGAAAUAUUAACUUCAACUCCUGGAACAUCUCAUAUGGUCCAUGACGUUCAAAACGUCUUUGAAGUCCCGAUUCUAAGCCGUUAAACAUGGUGCACUAAACUAUCAAGUAGUCAUCAUAUUGAGCUAGCCAAACGUUCAUAACGUCUGCAUCUGCUCCUGCAAUAGGUCUGUCACCUAGCGGUGCAUCAAGGACAUAAUUUUUCUGUGCAGCAAUGAGGAUAAUCCUCGGAUCACGGAUCCAAUCCGCAUCUUUGCUACUAACAUCUUUCAACAUAAUUUUUCUCUAGGAACAUAUCAAAAAUAAACACAGGGAAGCAACAACGCGAGCUUUUGAUCUACAACAUAAUUUGCAAAAUACUAUCAGGACUAAGUUCAUGAUAAAUUUAAGUUCAAUUAAUCAUAUUACUUAAGAACUCCCACUUAGAUAGACAUCCCUCUAAUCAUCUAAGUGAUUACGUGAUCCAAAGCAACUAAACCAUGUCCGAUUAACACGUGAGAUGGAGUAGUUUCAAUGGUGAACAUCACUAUGUUGAUCAUAUCUACUAUAUGAUUCACGCUCGACCUUUCGGUCUCUGUGUUCCGAGGCCAUAUCUGUAUAUGCUAGGCUCGUCAAGUUUAACCUGAGUAUUCCGCGUGUGCAACUGUUUUGCACCCGUUGUAUUUGACCGUAGAGCCUAUCACACCCGAUUAACACGUGGUGUCUCAGCACGAAGAACUUUUGCAACGGUGCAUACUCAGGGAGAACACUUUUAUCUUGAAAUUUUAGUGAGAGAUCAUCUUAUAAUGCUACCGUCAAUCAAAGCAAGAUAAGAUGCAUAAAGGAUUAACAUCACAUGCAAUCAAUAUAAGUGAUAUGAUAUGGCCAUCAUCAUCUUGUGCUUGUGAUCUCCAUCUCCGAAGCACCGUGCUUGUGAUCUCCAUCUCCGAAGCACCGUCAUGAUCACCAUCGUCACCGGCGCGACACCUUGAUCUCCAUCGUAGCAUCGUUGUCGUCUCGCCAACUUAUUGCUUUUACGACUAUCGCUACCGCUUAGUGAUAAAGUAAAACUAUUACAUGGCGAUUGCAUCUCAUACAAUAAAGCGACAACCAUAUGGCUCCUACCAGUUGCCGAUAACUCGGUUACAAAACAUGAUCAUCUCAUACAACACAUUAUAUCACAUCAUGUCUUGACCAUAUCACAUCACAACAUGCCCUGGAAAACAAGUUAGACGUCCUCUACUUUGUUGUUGCAUAUUUUACGUGGCUGCUACGGGCUUAGCAAGAACCGUUCUUACCUACGCAUCAAAACCACAAUGAUAGUUUGUCAAGUUGGUGCUGUUUAAACCUUCGCAAGGACCGGGCGUAGCCACACUCGGUUCAACUAAAGUGAGAGAGACAGACACCCGCCGGUCACCUUUAAGCAACGAGUGCUCGCAACGGUGAAACCAGUCUCGCGUAAGCGUACGCGUAAUGUCGGUCCGGGCCGCUUCAUCUCACAAUACCGCUGAACCAAAGUAUGACAUGCUGGUAAGCAGUAUGACUUAUAUCGCCCACAACUCACUUGUGUUCUACUCGUGCAUAGCAUCAACGCAUAAAACCAGGCUCGGAUGCCACUGUUGGGGAACGUAGUAAUUUCAAAAAAUUUCCUACGCACAUGCAAGAUCAUGGUGAUGCAUAGCAACGAGAGGGGAGAGUGUUGUCCACGUACCCUCAUAGACCGACAGCGGAAGCGUUAUCACAACGCGGUUGAUGUAGUCGUACGUCUUCACGAUCCGACCGAUCAAGUACCGAACGUACGGCACCUCCGAGUUCUACACACGUUCAGCUCGAUGACGUCCCUCGAACUCCGAUCCAGCCGAGUGUUGAGGGAGAGUUUCGUCAGCACGACGGCGUGGUGACGAUGAUGAUGUUCCACCGACGCAGGGCUUCGCCUAAGCUCCGCAACGGUAUUAUCGAGGUGUAAUAUGGUGGAGGGGGGCACCGCACACGGCUAAGAGAUCUCAAGGAUCAAUUGUUGUGUCUCUGGGGUGCCCCCUGCCCCCGUAUAUAAAGGAGCAAGGGAGGAGGAGGCCGGCCCUAGGAGGGGCGCACCAAGUGUGGAGUCCUACUAGGACUCCCUAGUCCUAGUAGGAUUCCACCUCCCAUAUGGAAUAGGAAAAGAGGAAGGGAAAAAGAGAAGGAAGGAAGGGGGCGCCCCCCUUCCCUAGUCCAAUUCGGACCAGACCAAGGGGAGGGGUGCGGCCACCCUUGAGGCCCUUUUCCUUCUUUCCCGUAUGGCCCAAUAAGGCCCAAUACGUAUUCCCGUAACUCUCCGGUACUCCGAAAAAUACCCGAAUCACUCGGAACCUUUCCGAAGUCCGAAUAUAGUCGUCCAAUAUAUCGAUCUUUACGUCUCGACCAUUUCGAGGCUCCUCGUCAUAUCCCCGAUCUCAUCCGGGACUCCGAACUCCUUCGGUACAUCAAAACUCAAUAAAACUGUCAUCGUAACGUUAAGCGUGCGGACCCUACGGGUUCGAGAACUAUGUAGACAUGACCGAGACACGUCUCCGGUCAAUAACCAAUAGCGGGACCUGGAUGCCCAUAUUGGCUCCCACAUAUUCUACGAAGAUCUUUAUCGGUCAGACCGCAUAACAACAUACGUUGUUCCCUUUGUCACCGGUAUGUUACUUGCCCGAGAUUUGAUCGUCGGUAUCUCGAUACCUAGUUCAAUCUCGUUACCAGCAAGUCUCUUUACUCGUUCCGUAACACAUCAUCCCGCAACUAACUCAUUAGUCACAAUGCUUGCAAGGCUUAUAGUGAUGUGCAUUACCGAGUGGGCCCAGAGAUACCUCUCCGACAAUUGGAGUGACAAAUCCUAAUCUCGAAAUACGCCAACCCAACAAGUACCUUUGGAGACACCUGUAGAGCACCUUUAUAAUCACCCAUUUACGUUGUGACGUUUGGUAGCACACAAAGUGUUCCUCCGGUAAACGGGAGUUGCAUAAUCUCAUAGUCAUCGAAACAUGUGUAAGUCAUGAAGAAAGCAAUAGCAACAUACUAAACGAUCGAGUGCUAAGCUAAUGGAAUGGGUCAAGUCAAUCACGUCAUUCUCCUAAUGAGGUGAUCUCGUUAAUCAAAUGACAACUCAUGUCUAUGGCUAGGAAACAUAACCAUCUUUGAUUAACGAGCUAGUCAAGUAGAGGCAUACUAGUGACACUCUGUUUGUCUAUGUAUUCACACAUGUAUUAUGUUUCCGGUUAAUACAAUUCUAGCAUGAAUAAUAAACAUUUAUCAUGAUAUAAGGAAAUAUAUAAUACUUUAUUAUUGCCUCUAGGGCAUAUUUCCUUCAGUCUCCCACUUGCACUAGAGUCAAUAAUCUAGUUCACAUCGCCAUGUGAUUUAACAUCAAUAAUUCACAUCACCAUGUGAUUAACACCCAUAGUUCACAUCUCUAUAUGACCAACACUCAAAGGGUUUACUAGUGUCAAUCAUCUAGUUCACAUCGCUAUGUGAUUAAUACCCAAAGAGUACUAAGGUAUGAUCAUGUUUUGAUUGUGAGAUAAUUUUAGUCAACGGGUCUGUCACAUUCAGAUCCGUAAGUAUUUUGCAAAUUUCUAUGUCUACAAUGCUCUGCACGGAGAUACUCUAGCUAAUUGCUCCCACUUUCAAUAUGUAUCUAGACCGAGACUUAGAGUCAUCUAGAUUUAGUGUCAAAACCUGCAUCGACGUAACCCUUUACGACGAACCUUUUGUCACUUCCAUAAUCGAGAAACAUAUCCUUAUUCCACUAAGGAUAAUUUUGACCGCUGUCCAGUGAUCUACUCCUAGAUCACUAUUGUACUCCCUUGCCAAAAUCAGUGUAGGGUAUACAAUAGAUCUGGUACACAGCAUGGCAUACUUUAUAGAACCUAUGGCCGAGGCAUAGGGAUGACUUUCAUUCUCUUUCUAUCUUCUGCCGUGGUCGGGCUUUGAGUCUUACUCAAUUUCACACCUUGUAAAACAGGCAAGAACUCUUUCUUUGACUGUUCUAUUUUGAACUACUUCAAAAUCUUGUUAAGGUAUGUACUCAUUGAAAAACUUAUCAAGCGUCUUCAUCUAUCUCUAUAGAUCUUGAUGCUCAAUAUGUAAGCAGCUUCACCGAGGUCUAUCUUUGAAAAACUCCUUUCAAACACUCCUUUAUGCUUUGCAGAAUAAUUCUACAUUAUUUCUGAUUAACAAUAUGUCAUUCACAUAUACUUAUCAGAAAUGAUGUAGUGCUCCCACUCACUUUCGUGUAAAUACAGGCUUCACCGCAAGUCUGUAUACAACUAUAUCCUUUGAUCAACUUAUCAAAGUGUAUAUUCCAACUCCGAGAUGCUUGCACCAGUUCAUUGAUGGAUCGCUGGAGCUUGCAUAUUUUGUUAGCACCUUUAGGAUUGACAAAACCUUCUGGUUGCAUCAUAUACAACUCUUCUUUAAUAAAUCCAUUAAGGAAUGCAGUUUUGUUUAUCCCUUUGCCAGAUUUCAUAAAAUGCGGCAAUUGCUAACAUGAUUCAGACUAUCCUACUAACCGGAGGCCCAGCCCAGAAUUGCUGUUUUUUUGCCUAUUUCAGAGUUUCACAGAAAAAGAAUAUCAAACAGAGUCCAAACGGAAUGAAACCUUCGGGAACGUGACUUUCGGAACGAACGUGAUCCAGAGGACUUGGAGUCUACGCAAAGCAACGAACAAGGAAGGCACGAGGUAGGGGGCGUGCCUACCCCCCAGGCGCGCCCUCCACCCUCGUGGGCCCCUUGUUGCUCCACCGACGUACUUCUUCCUCCUAUAUAUACCUACGUACCCCAAACUACCAGAUACGGAGCCAAAAACCUAAUUCCACCGCCGCAACCUUCUGUACCCGUGAGAUCCCAUCUUGGUGCCUUUUCCGGAGCUCCGCCGGAGGGGGCAUUGAUCACGGAGGGCUUCUAGAUCAACACCAUAGCCUCUCCGAUGAUGUGUGAGUAGUUUACCUCAGACCUUCGGGUCCAUAGUUAUUAGCUAGAUGGCUUCUUCUCUCUUUUUGGAUCUCAAUACAAUGUUCUCCCCCUCUCUUGUGGAGAUCUAUUCGAUGUAAUCUUCUUUUUGCGGUGUGUUUGUUGAGACCGAUGAAUUGUGGGUUUAUGAUCAAGUUUAUCUAUGAACAAUAUUUGAAUCUUCUUUGAAUUCUUUUAUGUAUGAUUGGUUAUCUUUGCAAGUCUCUUCGAAUUAUCAGUUUGGUUUGGCCUACUAGAUUGAUCUUUCUUGCAAUGGGAGAAGUGCUUAGCUUUGGGUUCAAUCUUGCGGUGUCCUUUCCCAGUGACAGUAGGGGCAGCAAGGCACAUAUUGUAUUGUUGCCAUUGAGGAUAACAAGAUGGGGUUUAUAUCAUAUUGCAUGAAUUUAUCCCUCUACAUCAUGUCAUCUUACUUAAAGCGUUACUCUGUUCUUAUGAACUUAAUACUCUAGAUGCAUGCUGGAUAGCGGUCGAUGUGUGGAGUAAUAGUAGUAGAUGCAGGCAGGAGUCGGUCUACUUGUCUCGGACGUGAUGCCUAUAUACAUGAUCAUACCUAGAUAUUCUCAUAACUAUGCUCAAUUCUGUCAAUUGCUCAAUAGUAAUUUGUUCACCCACCGUGAUACUUAUGCUCUCGAGAGAAGCCUCUAGUGAAACCUAUGGCCCCCGGGUCUAUUUUCCAUCAUAUUUAAUCUCCCGACAACAAGUUAUUUCUAGUGUCGUCUUUAUUUUACUUUCUUUACUUUGCAUCUUUAUCAUAAAAAUACCAAAAAUAUUAUCUUAUCAUAUCUAUCAGAUCUCACUCUCGUAAGUGACCGUGAAGGGAUUGACAACCCCUUUAUUGCGUUGGUUGCGAUGAUUUAUUUGUUUGUGUAGGUGCAAGGGACUCGUGCGUGGCCUCCUACUGGAUCGAUACCUUGGUUCUCAAAAACUGAGGGAAAUACUUACGCUACUUUGCUGCAUCACCCUUUCCUCUUCAAGGGAAAACCAACGCAAUGCUCAAGAGGUAGCAGAAGGCUCGACCUUUAGCCUGGUGUUUUGUUCCACUCUUGCUGCCCUAGUUUCCGUCAUACCGGUGUUAUGUUCCUUGAUUUUGCGUCCCUAACACGGUGAGGGUUUAUGGGCCCCUCUUGACAGUUCGCUUUGAAUAAAACUCUUCCAGCAAGGCCCAACAUUGGUUUUACCAUUUGCUCAACAUAAUAACUAAACCUGAUAAUUAAUUAAUUAGCAUAGGGGGUCGCGUCCCCGAGGAUUCUUUUCUACAUAUAGGGGGGCCAGUGCUGAUGGUGCUGGUCCAAACUAGAGUCAUGUGCGGCUUCUCCCAGGGCAACUCGGGUCUCAGUUGCUGUACGCUGCGCUCAUCCGGACGUGGCCUGAGACGAGAUACGCGUGGCUACUUUCAGGGUGUCGGCACGCUGGGAGGUCUUGCUGGAUUAGUUUUACCAUUGUCAAAAUGUCUUGUGCACCGGGAUCCCGAGUCUGAUCGGAUGUCCCGCGAUGGAGGAUUGUCUCCACAGAUCGUGAGCUUGUCAUGGGCUAAGUUGGGACACCCCUGCAGGGUUUAAUCUUUCGAAAGCCGUGCCCGCGGUUAUGUGGCAGAUGGGAAUUUUUUAAUAUCUGGUUGUAGAGGACUUGAAGUGAACUCGAUUAAAAUACACCAACGUGUUGCAUAACCGUGAUUGUCUCUUUUCGGGGAAGUUCGAGAGGAGAACACGGUUGGGUCAUGUUUGAACGUAAGUAGUUCAGGAUCACUUAUAGAUCAUUACUAGUUUGCGACCGUUUGCGUAGAUUCUCAUCACCAUAUUUGCUUAGCCGCUUGCUGCAAGCUCACCACUUAUCCUUUCCAUACCCAUUAAGCUUUGCUAGUCUUGAUACCCAUGGUAAUGGGAUUGCUGAGUCCUCGUGGCUCACAGAUUACUACACCAACAGUUGCAGGUACAGGUUCUGCGAUGAUCAUGACGUGAGAGCGAUGUUUAUUGUGUUGGAGUUCUUGUUCCGCUUCUUCUUUGUUGAGGGAUAGGUUCCUGGUCGGCAGCCUGGGCUAGCAGGGUGGAUGUUGUUAGAGCUUUUGUUUGUGUUUCAUCCGUAGUCGGAUGUUGAUCUAUGUAUGAUGUAUUGAUGUAUUCUUGUGGCAUUGUAUGCCUUUGGUAUGUAUCCCCAUCUAUCAUGUAAUGGUUUGAUGUAAUGAUAUCCACCUUGCAAAAGCGUGUCAAUAUGCGGUUCUAUCCUUGGUGGGACCUUCGAGUCUCUUUAGGAUAGUGUCGCAUAUUGGGCGUGACAAUUUGGGUGGGCCAACUGUAGGAAGUAACUGUUGGGUUUGUGUUUCAUGGCCCAAAAAUACGUAUACACUAUAGGGACUCACAUGGGCUGGGCGGGCCGCGGCCCAUUCGGCCUUGUCGUAGCUCCGCACUUCAUCAUACCACACUCUGUGCAACUCUAACUACUGCAGUUGUCAACAAAUGUGACUAUGAAUGAGUCAACUUGUGCAUAUCUUCUCUAGCCAGCUUUCUCUAGUCAGCUUUGUAUAACCAUGCAUGCAACUUUCCAGUACAACUUCAAUAUGUGCUAAGUUCUACGUCCAACUUAGUAUGACUAUGUCCACAAUAAACAUGCUUUUAUUUCGUCGAGGAGAGUGUGGUCGCCUUGACCAUCCACCUCAAUUUCGCUGAGGAGAGAGUGCUGCGUCGACCGUGAGCUUGGAUUUUGCCGAGAAAGAGAGCCGUUGCUUCCAAUGCCGUUUGGAUUUCAGCGAAGCGAGUGUGGCCUUCAUCACCCGUGGAUGGAGGAGAGAAGAGAGGACGACCGCCGCAACAUAAAUUUUGAAUCUAAGACCCCCACGACCAAUGUCACUUGCCGACUUGUGGGCCUAUGUGCAUCGCCCCGGCCAGAUGCCACCUAGGCGCCCCAAAUGCAAUGUGGGAGAUGAUACAUCUCCAACGUAUCUAUAAUUUAUGAAGUAUUCAUGCCAUGUUUACAAUAGUUUUAUAUGAUUUUGGUAUGAUUUGAUUAGAACUAACCCGGACUGACGUUGUUUUCAGCAGAACUACCAUGGUGUUGUUUUUGUGCAGAAAUAAAAGUUCUCAGAAUGCGAUGAAAAGCAAUGGAGAAUUUUUCUGGAAAAUAUAAAAAAUACUGGAACGAAGAGUUAUCGGAGGGGAGACCCAUGGGCCCCACAAGGGUGGAGGGCGCGCCCACCCCCCUAAGGCGCGCCCCUGUGCCUCGUGGACUUCCCGUGAGGCCCCCUGACUUGUUCUCGAUGCCAACCUCUCCUAUAAAUACCCAAACCUCCAGAAAAUAACCUAGAUCGGAAGUUCCGCCACCGCAAGCCUCUGUAGCCAUGAGAAAUCAAUCUAGGCCCUCUCUGGCACCCUGCCGGAGGGGGCCAUCAUCACCGGAGGCCAUGGAGGAGGAUCCCGGAGGGGCCAUCAUCGCCAUGAAGUCCAAGAUCCAGAGGGAGAACCUCUCCCCAUCCAGGGGGGAGGCCAUGGAUGAGUAAGCACAAGGGGGAGAACCUCUCCUCCUCUCUCUCGGUGGCGUCGGAGUGCCAUUGGGAGGGGAAUCAUCGCCGCGGUGAUCUUCUUCAUCAACAUCACCAUCAUCAUCACCGUCCUCAUGUCUUUUACGCGGUCCACGCUCUCGCACCCCGCUGUAAUCCCCACUUGAACAUGGUGCUUUAUGACACAUAUUAUGAUCCAAUGAUGUGUUGCCAUCCUAUGAUGUUUUGAGUAGAUAUCCUUUGUCUUUGGGUUGAUUGAUGAUCUAGAUUGGUAUGAGUUGUAUGUUUUAUUUUGGUGCUGUCCUAUUGUGCCCUCCGUCUCGCGCAAGCGUGAGGGAUUCCCGCUGUAGGGUGUUGCAAUACGUUUAUGAUUCGCUUAUAGUGGGUUGCUUGAGUGACAGAAGCAUAAACCCGAGUAAGGGGGUUGUUGCGUAUGGGAUAAAGGGGACUUGAUAUGUUAAUGCUAUGGUUGGGUUUUACCUUAAUGAUCUUUAGUAGUUGCGGAUGCUUGCUAGAGUUCCAAUCAUAAGUGCAUAUGAUCCAAGAAGAGAAAGUAUGUUAGCUUAUGCCUCUCCCUCAUAUGAAAUUAGAAUGACGACUACCGGUCUUGUUAACGAUUGUCUAGGAUAAUUCCGCACACUGACCCAUCAUUAUUCCACACUCGCUAUUUAUAAUAUUUAGUAAUAUAUUCUAACUUUAUGAUAACAGCACCUACUUUUAUAUUUUAGCUCUCCGAUACCAUGCAAAGUUAUCCUCUUCAUACCCACAACGUAGUUUUAUUUCUCGUUACAUAGAGUCGUAUCAGUGGAAGAUAGGACUUGAGAGAAUAUUGAUCUUAGCUUUAGCUCCUUGUGGGUUCGACACUCCAGACUUAUCACUUCCACCUUUGGGAAUUUCUACGAUGAUUCCUUGCACUUGGGGAUUAUCAAGCUCUUUUCUUGCGCCGUUGCCGGGGAGCAAUAGCGUGGGGUUGAUAUUUUCGUGUAUGCUCAUUUGCUUUCUUCACUAAGUAGUUUUUGUUUUCCCUUUUUAGUUUUUCUUAGUUGUGCUGAAACAUACAAAAAAAUUCAAAAAAAUGAAAAUACAAAUUUUUUUACUUGCCUCUCAUGCCUAAAAGGUUUUUCAAUAAGAGAAGUGAUUGGAAAGUUAUGCAUUGAAGAAGUGAGGGUCAACCUUGAACACUUGUGUUCAUGCUCAUGGAAACAAUGUAAAAAAAUUCAUGGAAGUUUCUCUGAAAAUAAUUAUCCCCUUGUAUAUAUCCAUUGUAUUAUAAAAGUAAUGUGACAAGCUUUGGUUUUAGGAUGAUUAGAUUGCUUGUUUACUAUGGCAGUACAAAAACAGAAACUUUGGCUGUAGCGCGUGAAUUUACAUUUUUUACUGGAAAGUCAAAUGGGUAUGAAAUUUUUUGCACAUUACUUAUGUAAAAUGUUUUCAAAUUUUCAAUUUUUUUUAGAAUUGUUGGAGUUCCAGAAGUAUUCGUUUGAUACAGAUUACUACAGACUGUCCUGUUUUUGACAGAUUCUGUUUUCAAUGUGUUGUUCGCUUAUUUUGAUGAAUCUAUGGGUAGUAUCGGGGGGUAUGAACCAUGGUGAAGUUGGAAUACAGUAUAUAUAGUUCUAAUAUGAAAUUGGAAUGAGUUUUCAACAGUACCUAAAGGUAGUGAUUUGCUUUAUUAUACUAACAGAUCUCACAAAGUUUUUGUUAAAGUUUUGUGUGGAUGAAGUGUUCAAAGAUCGAGGAGCUAUCCAUAUGAGAAGAAUAAAGAGAGGCAAGAGUUCAAGAUUGGGGAUUCCCCAGGCACCCCAAGUAAAUAUUUCAAGGAUACUCAAGCAUCUAAGCUUGGGGAUGCCCCGGUUGGCAUCCCAUCUUUCUUCUUCAACAAUUAUCGGUAUACCUCAGUUUUUGUUUUGUUCACAUGAUUUGUGUCCUUUGUGUUUUUGUUUUUUUCCUUUAAGAACCAUGCUAGUAUGAGAUAGCCCUUCAUUGAUUUAUAGAAUGCUUCAUGUGCUUCACUUAUAUCUUUUAAGUAUGAUCUUAUAGGAUUGCUCUUUGUGCUUCACUUAUAUAUUUUGAGCUUGGAUAUUGGUUAGUCUAUAUUAAUUAAUUGUAGAAUUCUCCAUGAACUUAACUUAUAUCUUUUGGAGUAUGAAUAAUACUAUAAUCUAAAGUGGGGUUGGAAGAGUGUCAACUUUAGGAAUUAGUGAUCCCACUAUUUUGGAGGGUGUUGAAUCUUAGUGUGAUAUUUAUGGAAGUGGAUUUGGAAGAGUGUCAACUUUAGUUAGUAAUGAUUCCACUAUUUCGGAAGAGGUUCCAAUUGAUUAUGAGAACAAAGAUGCUAUCUAUGAUGAUUAUUGUGAUGACAUGUAUGCUAUAAAGAAUAAUGUUAACCAUGAAACUUGUCAUCAUGAUUUUAAUUUUCAAUUGAAUUAUGCCUCACAUGACCGUUAUUCUGUUGAGUUUGCUCCCAUUAUUCCGAAUGAGAAGCAUUUUGCUUAUGUGGAGAGUAGUAAAAUUUCUAUGCUUGUAGAUCAUGAAAAGAAUGCUUUAUGUGAUGGUUAUAUUGUUGAAAUCAUUCAUGAUGCUACUGAAAAUUGUUAUGACGGAGGAAUACAUGCUUCUAGGAGUUGCCAUAAUAUCAAGUUUCUUCUCUAUGUACUUAAAGUUUUGAAGUUAUACUUGUUUUGCCUUCCUAUGCUAGUUGAUCCUUGUUCCUAUAAAUUGUGUGCUCAGAAAAUCCCUAGGAAUAGGAAUUGGGUUAGAUUUAAAUGUGCUAGUCAUAUUCUUCAUGGUGCUCACUUUAUGUUUCAGUUCUUAUCUUUUAUGUGAGCAUCAUUGAAAUCAUCAUGCCUAGCUAAAAGGCAUUAAAGAAAAGCGCUUGUUGGGAGACAACCCAAUAUUUACCCUUACUGUUUUUGUGUGUUUACAUGAUUAAGCUACUGUAGUAAUCAUGUUUUAUAGCUUUUGUUUCAAUAAAGUGCCAAGUAAGACCUUUGGGAAGACUUGGGUGAAAGUUAAUGUAAUCUUGCUGUAAAAAAUAGAAAAUUUGCGCUCACAAGAUUAGCUGUCAUUUUUUACAGAAGAGAUUUUGAGUUGAUUCUUUUUGCAGAAGAUUAAUAGACAAAUUCCUCACGUCCAACAAUUUAUUUCAUAAUUUUUGGAGUAUCAUAAGUAUGGUUUCUGUUCAGAUCAUUACAGACUGUUCUGUUUCUGACAGAUUCUGUUUUCAUUGCAUAGUUUGCUUGUUUUCUAGUUUCUAUGGCUUAUAUUUCUCAAUAUAAAUUGUAUAAAUGAUAUGGUACAAUAGGCAUUGUGUGAGAACAAUUAUGAACCUUGUCUUUGACAAUACCAAAGUGAAUGGUUUACUCUUUAUCAUACUAACCUAUCUCACAAAGUUCCGUUAAGUUUUGUGUGAUUGAAGUUUUCAAGCUUUGGGUGAGAUAUCGAUAUGAGGAGAAUAAGGAGUGGAAAGACCCUAAGCUUGGGGAUGCCCAAGGCACCCCAAGGUAAUAUUCAAGGAAGACUCAAGCGCCUAAGCUUGGGGAUGCCCCGGAAGGCAUCCCCUCUUUCGUCUUCAGAACUAUCAGUAUACCUUACUCGGAGCUAUAUUUCUAUUCGUCACAUGAUAUGUGUUUUGCUUGGAGCGUAUUUUCAAUUUUAUUUGUUUUUUGAAUAAAAUCAUUGGAUCUGAAAUCUUGAAUGAAAAAGAAUCCUCCCAUGGCUAGUUAAUUAUUUGACUACUCAGUGUUCUUCACUUAUAUCUUUUGGAGUAGUUUGCCAUUUACUCACGCGCUUUACGUAUAUCCUAUGAGUAAAUGGUUGAAUGAAUUGAAUAUCAUAAAUCUGAAUUUAUAUACAUUUCAUAUGCUUAUAACAUGGGGAGUAAUGACUUCACACAUAAUAAGUAUAGGUAGUAAACUUAUUGAAAGUUAGCAAACGCAGAAUUGGUCACUUGAACAAUCCAUGAAAGAAUAUUGAAGGAAGAGAGAUUUCACAUAUAAAUAUACUAUGUUGGAUAUCUUUUGUAAUUGUGAGCACUAUUAAAAUAUGACAUGCUAAAAGGUUGAUGUUGGACAAGGAAGACAACUUAAUGGGUUAUGUUUUCCUAUAUGCCUUUCCCUCUCAUGCUAGCCAAAUUCUUUGCACCAAGUAGAAUUGUGCUUCCAAACAUCCCUUAAACCAGUUCUGCCAUGAGAGUCCACCAUACCUACCUAUGGAUUGAAUAAGAUCCUUCAAGUAAGUUGUCAUCGGUGCAUGCAAUAAAAAUUGCUCUCUAAAUAUGUAUGAUCUAUUAGUGCGAAGAAAAUAAGCUUUAUACGAACUUGUGAUAGGGAAGAAAUAAAAGCGACGGACUGCAUAAUAAAGGUCUUUAUCACAAGCGGCAAUAUAAAGUGACAUUCUUUUGCCUUAAGUUUUUGUGCAUCCAACCAUAAAAGUGCAUGACAACCUCUGCUUCCCUCUGCGAAGGGCCUAUCUUUUACUUUUAUCUUCUACCCUUAUACAAGAGUCAUGGUGAUCAUCACCUUUCCUUUUUACACUUUUUCCUUUGGCAAGCACUUUGUGUUGGAGCGAUCCGGAUAUAUAUAUCCACUUGGAUGUAGGUUUUCAUAAAUUAUUAUUCUGGACAUUACCCUUGAGGUAAAAGGUUGGGAGGCGAAACUAUAAGCCCCUAUCUUUCUCUGUGUCCGAUUAAAACUUUGAACCCAUAAAUAUCACAUGAGUGUUAGCAAUUGUGAAAGAUUAAAUGAUAGUUGAGUAUGUGGAAUUUGCUGAAUCAAAGCUCUUACAUAGACCCUUCCCGAAAAUAAGAUGAAUUGCAAUUGUUUGAUGACUAAGAGCACGGUUUGUUAGUUUUCAAGAAAGUUUAUGAUCUAUACUUUAACAUGUGAAUAGCUUGUUACUUGAUCAUGAGAAGUUUUAUGAGUUGAGCUACUGUUAUGAUAUAUAAUUAUGCUAGAAAAAGUUAUUGGAACUAUCAUUGAUCAAACUUAUGCACUUGCUAGCAUCACACUUCAUAAAUUAUUUCUUUUAUCAUUUACCUACUCGAGGACGAGCAGUAAUUAAGCUUGGGGAUGCUGAUACGUCUCAAACGUAUCUAUAAUUUAUGAAGUAUUCAUGCCAUGUUUACAAUAGUUUUAUAUGAUUUUGAUAUGAUUUGAUUAGAACUAACCCGGACUGUCGUUGUUUUCAGCAGAACUACCAUGGUGUUGUUUUUGUGCAGAAAUAAAAAUUCUCGGAAUGCGAUGAAAUCAACGGAGAAUUUUUCUAGAAAAUAUAAAAAAAUACUGGAACGAAGAGUUAUCGGAGGGGUGGCCCGUGGGCCCCACGAUGGUGGAGGGCGCGCCCCUGUGCCUCGUGGACUUCCCGUGGGGCCCCCUGACUUGUUCUCGACGCCAACCUCUCCUAUAAAUACCCAAACCUCCAGAAAAUAACCUAGAUCGGAAGUUCCGCCGCCGCAAGCCUCUGUAGCCACGAGAAAUCAAUCUAGGCCCUCUCUGGCACCCUGCCGGAGGGGGCCAUCAUCACCGGAGGCCAUGGAGGAGGACCCGGAGGGGCCAUCAUCGCCAUGAAGGCCAAGAUCUAGAGGGAGAACCUCUCCCCAUCCAGGGGGGAGGCCAUGGAGGAGGAAGCACAAGGGGGAGAACCUCUCCUCCUUUCUGUUGGUGGCGCCGGAGUGCCAUCGGGAGGGGAAUCAUCGCCGCGGUGAUUGUCUUCAUCAACAUCACCAUCAUCAUCACCAUCCUCAUGUCUUUUACGCGGUCCACUCUCCCGCACCCCGCUGUAAUCCCUACUUGAACAUGGUGCUUUAUGCCACAUAUUAUGAUCCAAUGAUGUGUUGCCAUCCUAUGAUGUUUUGAGUAGAUAUCCUUUGUCUUUGGGUUGAUUGAUGAUCUAGAUUGGUAUGAGUUGUAUGUUUUAUUUUGGUGCUGUCCUAUUGUGCCCUCUGUGUCGUGCAAGCGUGAGGAAUUCCCUCUGUAGGGUGUUGCAAUACGUUCAUGAUUCGCUUAUAGUGGGUUGCUUGAGUAACAGAAGCAUAAACCCGAGUAAGGGGGUUGUUGCGUAUGGGAUAAAGGGGACAUGAUAUGUUAAUUCUAUGGUUGGGUUUUACCUUAAUGAUCUUUAGUAGUUGCGGAUGCUUGCUAGAGUUCCAAUCAUAAGUGCAUAUGAUCCAUGAAGAGAAAGUAUGUUAGCUUAUGCCUCUCCCUCAUAUGAAAUUGCAAUGACGACUACCGGUCUUGUUAACGAUUGCCUAGGAUAAUUCCGCACACCGACCCAUCAUUAUUCCACACUCGUUUUUUUAUAAUAUUUAGUAAUAUAUUCUAACUUUAUGAUAACAACACCUACUUUUAUAUUUUAGCUCUCCGAUACCAUGCAAAGUUAUCCUCUUCAUACCCACAACGUAGUUUUAUUUCUCGUUUCUAGUUGGAAGCAAACGUUCGGUGUACGUAGAGUCGUAUCAGUGGCAGAUAGGACUUAGAGAAUAUUGAUCUUACCUUUAGCUCCUUGUGGGUUCGACACUCCAUACUUAUCACUUCCACCUUUGGGAAUUGCUACGAUGAUUCCCUGCACUUGGGGAUUAUCAGGAGAUUGUGCGGCCAGGAGACCAUGCGCUUGGCACGCUUGAAAUGUGUCGUUACACAAAUUAGAAUUUGAAAAAAAUACACGGGUUUUGUUUGUGACGUUGAUGAUCGGAUGCUAAGGGAGGUGGACUCUAUCACGUUGAUGAUGUAAAAUUUCAUAGUUGAAAUUGGACUAUAUAUUAAAGAUGGGAAAUGAUUGGGAUCACCUGGCGGAUAACCACGUGUGCGUCCAUCGUCUCCAUGGCCGUUAGAUCGGAUUUUAGUCAGAUGACUAGAAGCAACGUGUUACGUAUACCAGGUUGUUUACGUUGUGUUGCUAAUUCUCCUACUGGUUCGAUAACCUUGGUUUCACAUGUGAGGGAAAUACCUACCGCUGUUGUGCUGCAUCAUCCCUUCCUCUUUGGGGAAAUACCGACGUAGCUUCAAGCCGCAUCAAAAGGAAUUUCCAGCGCCGUUGCCGGGGAGGAUCUUCAACAUAUACCAGGUUCCUAAUCACAAAUCUCAUCUCCUCUCAAUUUACAUUAUUUGCCAUUUGCCUCUCAUUUUCCUCUCCCCCAUUUCAAAAAAAUUUGCCGUUUUAUUCGCCCCUCUUUUUGGUUAGCUAUUUUCUCGUCAGAUCUCUCCUUUGCUUGCAAUCAUGAGUAAUUUCGGUAUGGCACCAACAGAUGAUGGCCUUACUCCUAAGAUUGGACGUACGGGCAAUCUGGGUGCUAAAACUUUUAUCUUGGGACAAGGGAAUGUUAUGGGAAAAGAACGUAUUCAAGAAUUUUUCAAUUGUGUUGGGAAUUUGACUCUUGAUGAUGCUCCUAUAGUUAAUACUACUAGAUCUUAUGCGGAUGCUAUUUCAGCACUAGUUCUGAAACUUGAAAGCAAAUUUAUCCGUACUCAUCCUACUUUGCAAAGAUUGUUUUCUGAGCUACCGUUAUAAAGAUCCUAAGGCCACUCUCAUUCUUAUGAAUGAGUUUGACUACAUAAUACGGGAAGCUAGGGAAAUCUUUGAUUUUUAUGGUAUGAAUCAUGAAAAACCCGUGAUAGAUGAAAUCCUUUACAAUAGUGAUUAUGCGCUAAGGCAUUUGCUUGGGGAUAAUAAAAUCUUUGAUGAGAAUCUUAAAAAGGAAGUCCCCGUUCUAGAUAUAAUCCAACAAGUUUUCAAUAAUGUUAAUCAACAUCACUCUUGGAUUGUUGCGGGAAAUCAAAGGGGUUAUGAUGAAAACCAACUUAGGAAUGCUAAGGUUUCGAUGGGUAACAUGUUUUAUGUUGUGUUUACAAAACCCCAUGACGAAACCACUUCUAAAAAAUUUAAGAAGGAGGGUGACAAAACUUAGAUCCUUGCUUUAUGCCUAGCUAAGGAUAUAAAACUAUAGCACUUGUUGGGAGGCAACCCAAUGAAUAAAAUUUAUUUUUGCUUUUUGCUUUCUGUUCUUGAGUUUUUACACAAUUAUGCUACUGUUAUGAUUGUGUUUUUUGUGUUUUAAUUAGUGUUUGUGCCAAGUAAAGCCUUUAGGAUCUUCUUGGGUGAUAGUUGUUUGAUCUUGCUGAAAAAACAGAAACUUUUGCUCUCACGAAAACAAUUCUCAUUGUUUACCAGAGCAUGCUAAAAUGACAAUUCUUUUUUUAGUAGAUUAAUAUACAAAUUUCUCAUGUCGUCCUAAUUUUUCAGAAUUUUUGGAGUUCCAGAAGUUUUUGAAAUAGUCAGAUUGCUACAGACUAUUCUGUUUUGACAGAUUCUGUUUUCUUUGCGUUGUGUGCUCGUUUUGAUGGCUCUAUGGUUUUCUUUGAUGAGUUUUUGCCAUAGAAAAGUUGGAAUACAGUAGAUAUAAUGCAAAAACAAAAUAUGAAUUGUUUUGGUACAAUACUUAUAGUAGUGAUUUGCUUUCGAUUACUAACGGAUCUAACGAAGGUUUUGUUGAGUUUUGUGUGAUUGAAGUUUUCAAGUUUUGGGUUAUCUUACGAUGGAUGAAGGAGUAAGGAGUAAGAAGAUAAGAUUGGGGAUGCCCCGGCAUCCAAGCUAUUAUCCAAAAGAGAGCAAGCAACUAAGCUUGGGGAUGCCCCGAGUGGCAUCCCCUCUUUCUUCUAGCAACCAUCGGUAUUUUACUCGAAGCUAUAUUUUUAUUCAUCACAUACUAUGUGUUUUGCUUGGAGCGUCUUGUAUGUUAUGAGUCUUUGCUUGUUUUACUUUGUGUUUUAAGUCUUGAUUCCUUGCUGGACACACCUAUUUGAGCGAGCCAAAAUUAUGUCAUGACUUGUUAGAAUAUCUCUCUAUGCUUCACUUAAAUUUUUAUGAGCUAUGGACUUGCUCUAGUGCUUCACUUAUAUCUUUUUGAUCAUGGUGUGCUUUAGUAUUUUUGAAGAAAUGCUCUCUUACUUCACUUAGAUUUAUUUUAGAGUUAGUAAAAUUUUCAAGAAAUUCUCUCUUGCUUCACUUAAAUUAAUUGAGAGGAAGAAAAAUUAUGCUCAUGAUCUUCACUUAUAUUUGUUUGAGCUUGUCAAAAGCAACAUAUGAAAAUUAGUUCCAAAGUGAUAGAUAUCCAAGAAGGAUAUAAUAAAAACUUUCAUGAAGAUCAUUGGACAAAAUAAACUUGAUUCUUAGUAAUAGUUUUGAGAUAUGAUGAUGUGAUAUGUGAGUCAUGUUGAUGAGUAAUUAUGCUUUAGUAAGAAUAUUGAUGUUAAGGUUUGUGAUUCCCUAUGCAAGCACGAAAGUCAAUAAUUAUGCAAUAAAAUUAUAUCUUACUUGUGGUACAUUAUUCGGUGUUAAUUAUGCUUAAUGCUCGCUUAUGAGAUUAUUCGUUUCUUGGUUGGUCGCUUCUCAAUCUUUUGCUAGCCUUCAUUUUGCACUAAGUAUGAUCUCUACUUGUGCAUCCAAAAACCUUUAAACCAGUUUUGCCACAUGAGUCCACUAUACCUACCUAUAUGCGGUAUUCUUUUGCCGUUCUAAGUAAAUUUGCAUGUGCCAUCUCUAAUUUUCAAAAUAAACUUCUCUUUUGUGUGUUCGUUUCGCUCGCGGAGUGGUGAGGGGUGGCUAAUAUUUUCCAUGCUAGAUGUGUUAUUCUCACGAUGAGUGUUUAUUCACUUGUCCUUGCACGAGAGUAAGGCAAAUGUAUUAGGGAUGCCCAGUCCCGAAAUGAAAAAUAAAUUUACUUUAUGUUGUCAAAUAAUAAAUUCCUUGGAAAGUGUUGGUAUGGAAGGCAACCGUGGAUACGGCUAGCCAUGGAAAGAGGAAGUAUGGUUGAAAAAGGAAUAAACUUUAUUUUCUGUUUGGGAACCGACUAUGAUAUAUCUAGCAUGGAAAGUGUUGGGAACUCUAAUCGUUUUCAUUGGUGGGAAGGACACACCUCUCAAAAUGUUUUUAUCUCUAAAUUUUCGCUUUGAGCUCUGGCACCUCUGCAAAUCCCUACUUCCCUCUACGAAGGGCCUUUCUUUUACUUUAUGCAAUUUUUAUUUUUGAAUUUGUGUCUCCAUCUUCUCUUAUAAAAGCACCAACUAGGAGGCAAUAUGAUCGUACUUGAGUAUUGGGUGUAGCUAAUAUGCGAGUGUGUUUCAUGAAUGGAUCAAUGAUUGAGCAUGAUGGGCUAGGGAUAACUUAUUUUAGCGUUGAUAUUUUGAAAGACAUGGUUGCUUGUCGAUAUGCUUGAGUAUUUAAGUUAUCAUGUCAAAACUAGACUAUUGCUUUGAACAAUAUAAAAGUCCAAAUGUCCAUGCUAUAAAGAAAAGAAAUAUGAUAUGACAUGAUAGGCAGCAUUCCACAUCAAAAAUUCUAUUUUUACCACUUACCUACUCGAGGACGAGUAGGAGUUAAGCUUGGGGAUGCUGAUACGUCUCCAACGUAUCUAUAAUUUUUGAUUGUUCCAUGUUGUUAUAUUAUCAAUAUUGGAUGUUUUAUAAUCAUUUUAUCGUUAUUUUAUAUCAUUUUUUGGUACUAACCUAUUGACAUAGUGCCAAGUGGCAGUUGCUGUUUUCUGCUUUUUUUUGCAUCGCAGGAAAUCAAUACCAAACGGAGUCCAAAUGCAACGAAACUUUACGGAGAUUUUUUAUGGACCAUAAGACACAUAAUGGGCCCUGGCUGCGCCUGGGGGGUGCUCCGAGGAGAGCACAACCCACCAGGGUGCGCCAAGAGGCCCAGGCGCGCCCUGGUGGGUUGUGCCCACCUCGGGUGCCCCCUGGACCGCCUCUUUGCUCUAUAAAUACCCCAAUAUUCCAGAAACCCUAGGGGAGUCGACGAAAAUCAAUUCCAGCCGCCGCAGAGUCCAGAACCACCAGAUCCAAUCUAGACACCAUCUCGGAUGGGGUUCACCACCUCCAUUGGUGCCCCUCCGAUGAUGCGUGAGUAGUUCUUUGUAGACCUUCGGGUUCGUAGUUAGUAGCUAGAUGGCUUCCUCUCUCUCGCUGAAUUCUCAAUACAAUGGUCUCUUGGAGAUCCAUAUGAUGUAACUCUUUUUGCGGUGUGUUUGUCGGGAUCAAUGAACUUUGAGUUUAUGAUCAGAUCUAUCUUUUUAUAUCCAAGAAAAUAUUUGAGUUUCUUUGAUCUCUUUUAUGCAUGAUUGCUUAAAGCCUCGUAUUUCUUCUCCGAUAUUUGGGUUUUGUUUGGCCAACUUGAUCUAUUUAUCUUGCAAUGGGAAGAGGUGCUUUGUAGUGGGUUCGAUCUUACGGUGCUUGAUCCUAGUGGUAGAAAGGGAACCGACACGUAUGUAUCGUUGCUACUAAGGAUAAAACGAUGGGGACUAUCUCUACAUAGAUAGAUCUUGUCUACAUCAUGUCAUCGUUCUUAUUUCAUUACUCCGUUUCUCCAUGAACUUAAUACACUAGAUGCAUGCUGGAUAGCGGUCGAUGUGUGGAGUAAUAGUAGUAGAUGCAGGAAAGAGUCGGUCUACUAAUCAUGGACGUGAUGCCUAUGUAAUGAUCAUUGCCUGGAUAUCGUCAUGAUUAUUUGAAGUUCUAUCAAUUGCCCAACAGUAAUUUGUUCACCCACCGUUUGCUAUUUUUCUCGAGAGAAGCCACUAGUGAAACCUACGACCCUGGGUCUCUUUCUCAUAUUAUUUGCCUUUGCUUUUAUUUUCAGAUCUAUUAAACCAAAAAUACCUUGCUGCAAUUUAUUCUUAUUUAUUUUAUUUGGCGUUCGAUCUAUCAAUCUACUACAAUUUUAUUCAGGUCCGUUUGCCCAUCUUGGGGUGCCGCUACCCGAAAUGGAUUGACAACCCCUUUUACACGUCGGGUUGCGAGAAGUUGUUAUUUGUGUGCAGGUGUUGUCUAUGUUGUGUUGCUUGAUUCUCCUACUGGUUCGAUAACCUUGGUUUCACAUCUGAGGGAAAUACCUACCGCUGUUGUGCUGCAUCAUCCCUUCCUCUUUGGCGAAAUACCGACGUAGCUUCAAGCCGCAUCAAACUCCUACUACUAUUCCAAACAAAUACAACAAAAAAUUGGGCCAUCAUACCAGUGGCGGAGCUUGGACCAAAUAGUUGGGUGGGCCAACUGUAGGAAGUAACUGUUGGGUUUGUGUUUCAUGGCCCAAAAAUACGUAUACACUAUAGGGAAUCACAUGGGCUGGGUGGGCCGCGGCCCAUUCGGCCUUUUCAUAGCUCCACACUUCAUCAUACCACUCUCUGUGCAACUCUAACUACUUCAGUUGUCAACAAAUGUGACUAUGAAUGAGUCAACUUGUGCAUAUCUUCUCUAGCCAGCUUUCUCUAAUCAGCUUUGUAUAACCAUGCGUGCAACUUUCCAGUACAACUUCAAUAUGUGCUAAGUUCUAUGACCAACUUAGUAUGACUAUGUCCACAAUAAACAUGCUUGUAUUUCGUCGAGGAGAGUGUGGUCGCCUUGACCAUCCACUUCAAUUUCGCUGAGGAGAGAGUGCUGCCUCGACCGUGAGCUUGGAUUUUGCCGAGAAAGAGAGUGGUUGCUUCCAAUGCCGUUUGGAUUUCAGCGAAGCGAGUGUGGCCUUCAUCACCUGUGGAUGGAGGAGAGAAGAGAGGACGACCACCGCGACAUAAAUUUUGAAUCUAAGACCCCCACGACCAAUGUCACUUGCCGACUUGUGGGCCUAUGUGCGUCGACCCAGCCAGAUGCCACCUGGGCGCCCCAAAUGCAAUGUGGGAGAUUGUGCGGCCAGGAGACCAUGCUCUUGGCACGCUUGAAAUGUGUCGUUACACGAAUUAGCAUUUGAAACAAAUACACGGGUUUUGUUUGUCACGUUGAUGAUGGGAUGCUAAGGGAGGUGGACUCUAUCACGUUGAUGAUGUAAAAUUUGCAUAGUUGAAACUGGACUAUAUAUUAAAGAUGGGAAAUGAUUGGGAUCACCCGGCGGAUAACCACGUGUGUGCGUCCACCGUCUCCGUGGCCGUUAGAUCGGAUUUUAAUCAGAUGACUAGAAAAAACGUGUUACGUAUACUAGUUUUUUGCAACUGAGUGGUUGUUCCAAUCUCCCCCACCGCAACAACUGGUGUGUUGCGGGAUUUGGAUCUGGAUCCCCACUGGAGCAGACACCACUCGUGUUCCUCCCAAGCUCCCCGUCAAGCUGACUCCUCGCGUUGCUUCGACUGCCACCGACGACGCUCUCCACCAGCAGCACGCCGACGAGGUCGCCGGUGUGGGCACCGCCGCUGCCGCCCACCUUCACCAUGAACGUCGGCCGUCGUGGUGCACCCGAACUCAAGCUGCAUCCCGCCGUCCCGGGGGAGCACCGGCGUCCGUGUCCACAACGGGGAGUUGUGUCCACCGUUGCCCUGCAUCCUGAGGGCGCACCGGCCUUUCUUUCGGUUGAUGUGGUCGCUGCUCGCUAUCUACUACAGCGAGUUUCUGCAACAAGGUCUCUGUUUCAGAAGAAAACCUUAGCAGACCUCUGCUGAAGAAAAUUAAAUUCCAACAAGACCUCUAUCGGAGAAAAUUGAAAUUGCAACAAGACCUCUAUUGCAAAAAAAAGCUACAACAAGACAUCUGUUGCAAAAAUAAUUUGCAGCUUGAUCUAUGUUACAAAAAUUUCCGAAACAUAACCCAUGUUACGGAAAAUUUCUGCAGCACGACAGGUGUUGCAAUGGUAGAAAGUGACCCCCAGUCGUUCAAUCCGCCAAUCAGACGGCUUGCAAGGCGGCGGAUGUUUUAAAAUGAUCUGCCGGCCGAUGCGUAGAAGCGCCCGUAUUAUAUUCACAACCAAAGUGUUUCUAUGCCCAUCUUUAAUGGCAAAUGCUCAACUUCAGCCGGAUGAUUUCUCGAAAGAAAUCUGCUGCAUCGCCUGGGUGGCAGGCGUUCUGGUGUGGACCACACAUUGGUCGAGAGCCGCUCGUUUCCAACCUUAUCACUCCGCUCUGUCUCCUACCCUGCUCUUUCACCUACAUCUCCUCUCAAUUGCCAAGUUCUUCGCUCCUACUCAGGGCGUACCUCGAUUGGCGCUGCUGACGGGGAUAUGAGGGGCCCCUAUGUGCUUCAGGGGCCGCCCGCGUUGCUGGGAUGGAGGCGUUGGGAACGGGGUAAGCGCCCUGCGUGUCACUGUAGCCCAUGUGUUUCAUCGGUCCAUCCUCUGAUACAUCAGGCGAGCCGCUUACUAGGAUUGUAACAUAAGUGGUGUUUCAGUGUUGCGGAAACAUAGCUACUUCAAAAACAUCCCUCGUGCUUCAACAACAACAGCGAAGCUACAAGACAGAGGUAACCACUAUGGCGGGAUGUUUCUGAAACAUGGCCUAUGUUGUAGAAGUCCAUGAGAGUACGAAAAAAAUCUGCAACACAAUCUUUCUUGCAAAUAUUUUUGCAACAUGAACUCUGUUGCAAAGAUCGCAACACAAUUGCUGUUGCAAAUGUGUCUGCAACACGGGCUUUGUUGCAAAGCUUCUGCAAGAUGGCACCAGAUGUAACAACCGCAGAGCCGGCGGAUCUUUUAAAAAGAUCCACCAGCCAACGCGUAGAAUGCCCCCUUUUAGGGAAAUGCGAAGGUAUUUCUUAAAAGAAAUUAGGAAAACGCUAACAAUCAGCCGACGGAUUACUCGGUUGCAUCCACCUUCUGCUCCAGUUGCCACGUGUCUUUCUGGGCACACACUCAAUCUAUCCCUCUAGAACCAGAAGCAUCAUGUGUUUGCUGAUGUGAAGUGUUUUGGAACAAGUGUUGUGUUGCAAUGAGAUUCUGCAAAAGGACCUAUGUUGCAAAAAGAUUCUGUAAAAAAAUGUUCAAAAAAAAUCCGCAACAAGACCUAUGUUGCAAAAAAACUGCAGCAGAACCUCUGUUGCAAAAGUUUCUGCAACAUGACCUCAGUUGCAGAACCUCUAUUGUAGACAGUUUCUGCAAGAUGACCUCUGUUGCAUUCUGUUUUGCAACACAGUGGUUGUUGUAACUGUAAGGACGAGGUUGGGCUCUUGGUUGGCGCAAGAUUUAAUGACUGCCGAGGCGGUGGAUCUUUUGGAAAGAAAUUACAAAGAAAAUAAAUGAAAGAAGUUGUGCAAAUGAGGACGUGAUGGCACACUCACAAUUGGGUGAUGAUGACCUUCAGAUCAUACCCGACAUGCCUGUGAGUGCCCUCGCGGUCGAACCCAACAACCUUGCACAUGUCCUCCCUUAGAAACCACUCAAACAUGGCGAUGAUGCGGUCCACCGAGCGUGGCUUGUUGGUGUACACCACCGUGAGGUCGCUGAUGUUGUGGGACCUCACGGUGAACUACACGUAAAUGGUGCCUUUACGAAUAUUUCAACUUGUGUUGAUUUUCUUGCCAACUUAGUAUGGUUGUGUGUGCAACUUUAUAGUACUACAUGGUGGAGAAUGAGAACAGAGGGGCGUGCAAUACCACCACCUCGCUGACAUGGCUCAAAGGCAAAAAAAA